rnacentral:rRNA from 1 species
UUCCGGUUGAUCCUGCCGGACCCGACUGCUAUCGGAUUGAGAUUUAGCUAUGCGAGUCGAACGCCUUCCUGUUGCGGGAGGCGUGGCGUACGGCUCAGUAACACGUAGUCAACCUGCCCUAGAGACAUGAAUAACCCCGGGAAACUGGGAUUAAUACAUGAUAGAUCAUCUCAUCUGGAAGGAGAGAUGGUUUAAAGGGGUGCGCGAGCUUCUUUUGUGCAUCCGCUCUAGGAUGGGACUGCGGCCGAUCAGGCUGUUGGUGGGGUAAUGGCCCACCAAACCUGUAACCGGUACGGGCCUUGAGAGAGGGGGCCCGGAGAUGGACACUGAGAGAAGGGUCCAGGUCCUACGGGGCGCAGCAGGCGCGAAACCUUCGCAAUGCGCGAAAGCGUGACGAGGUUAACCCGAGUGGUUCCCGCUGAGGGGAUCUUUUGUUGGCUCUAAAAUGGCCAGUGAAUAAGGGGAGGGCAAGUCUGGUGUCAGCCGGCGCGGUAAUACCAGCUCCUCGAGUGGUCGGGGCGAUUAUUGGGCCUAAAGCAUCCGUAGCCUGUUCCGUAGGUCUUCUGUUAAAUCCAACGGCUUAACCGUUGGCCUGCAGAAGAUACCGCGGGACUAGGAGGCGGGAGAGGUGGACGGUACUCCACGUGUAGGGGUAAAAUCCUUUGAUCCGUGGAAGACCACCAGUGGCGAAGGCGGUCCACCAGAACGCGCUCGACGGUGAGGGAUGAAAGCUGGGGGAGCGAACCGGAUUAGAUACCCGGGUAGUCCCAGCCGUAAACGAUGCGAGCUAGAUGAUCCAAUCGCAAAUCGCGAUUGGAGUGUCGCAGGGAAGCCGUUAAGCUCGCCGCCUGGGGAGUACGGUCGCAAGACUGAAACUUAAAGGAAUUGGCGGG